UACAGAGGAUGCAAGCGUUAUCCGGAAUGAUUGGGCGUAAAGCGUCUGUAGGCGGCUUUUUAAGUCCGCCGUCAAAUCCCAGGGCUCAACUCUGGACAGGCGGUGGAAACUACCAAGCUGGAGUACGGUAGGGGCAGAGGGAAUUUCCGGUGGAGCGGUGAAAUGCGUAGAGAUCGGAAAGAACACCAACGGCGAAAGCGCUCUGCUGGGCCGACACUGACGCUGAGAGACGAAAGCUAGGGGAGCGAAUGGG
rnacentral:rRNA from 1 species